rnacentral:rRNA from 1 species
AACGAACGCUGGCGGCAGGCUUAACACAUGCAAGUCGAGCGCAUCCUUCGGGGUGAGCGGCGGACGGGUGAGUAACGCGUGGGAACAUGCCCUCUUCUACGGAAUAGCCUCGGGAAACUGAGAGUAAUGCCGUAUACGCCCGCAAGGGGAAAGAUUUAUCGGAGGAGGAUCGGCCCGCGUUGGAUUAGGUAGUUGGUGGGGUAACGGCCUACCAAGCCGACGAUCCAUAGCUGGUUUGAGAGGAUGAUCAGCCACACUGGGACUGAGACACGGCCCAGACUCCUACGGGAGGCAGCAGUGGGGAAUCUUGGACAAUGGGGGCAACCCUGAUCCAGCCAUGCCGCGUGAUCGAUGAAGGCCUUAGGGUUGUAAAGAUCUUUCAGCUGGGAAGAUAAUGACGGUACCAGCAGAAGAAGCCCCGGCUAACUCCGUG